AUACGUAGGUGGCAAGCGUUAUCCGGAUUUAUUGGGCGUAAAGCGAGCGCAGGCGGUUUUUUAAGUCAGAUGUGAAAGCCCUCGGCUUAACCGAGGAAGCGCAUCGGAAACUGGGAAACUUGAGUGCAGAAGAGGACAGUGGAACUCCAUGUGUAGCGGUGAAAUGCGUAGAUAUAUGGAAGAACGCCAGUGGCGAAGGCGGCUGUCUGGUCUGUAACUGACGCUGAGGCUCGAAAGCAUGGGUAGCGGACAGGAUUAGAUACCCUGGUAGUCCAUGCCGUAAACGAUGAAUGCUAGGUGUUGGAGGGUUUCCGCCCUUCAGUGCCGCAGCUAACGCAUUAAGCAUUCCGCCUGGGGAGUACGACCGCAAGGUUGAA
rnacentral:rRNA from 1 species